GUGGCAAGCCGGCAAGGUGCUCUGGCCGCAUCGCCGGCAAGGUGCCCCUGCUGGUCCCCUCCUCGUCUGCAACAACAACAGCAGCAACCAGAAAUGCCACGUCAAGAACAAGGAUAUCGGGAAGUUCUUGGAUGGUAUCUACGUCAGCGACAAGGGCGCCAUCAAGGAGUAGAGUGCGAAAACCGUCCUAGAAGCCGUGUUUCGGCCUGCCGUGUUUCAUUGUCUUUGUGUCGUCGUCAUGAUUUUGAACUUUCUCUAGACUGAAUUUUGUAGUGGAGUUAAUUGUUAGGAAUGUGCCAUGGACCAUGUUAUCUUUAUUAUCCUGCAUAUUGUCACCGCAUGAAUCGGUACGACGCUUGACUUGAAAGUAUUUGAGGUUAAAACA